UACGGAGGGUGCGAGCGUUGUUCGGAAUCAUUGGGCGUAAAGGGCGUGUAGGCGGUCCGCUAAGUCUGAUGUGAAAGCCCGGGGCUCACCCCCGGAAGUGCAUUGGAAACUGGCGGACUCGAGUCCCGGAGAGGAGAGUGGAAUUCCUGGUGUAGCGGUGAAAUGCGUAGAUAUCAGGAGGAACACCCGUGGCGAAGGCGGCUCUCUGGCCUGUAACUGACGCUGAGGCGCGAAAGCGUGGGGAGCAAACAGG
rnacentral:rRNA from 1 species